rnacentral:rRNA from 1 species
AGAAUCAACGCUGGCGGCGCGCUUAACACAUGCAAGUCGCACGAGAAAGGGAGCAAUCCUAAGUAAAGUGGCGCACGGGUGAGUAACACGUGGAUCAUCUACCUUUUAGUGGGGAAUACCUCUGGGAAACCGGAGACAAUACCGCAUAAGCCUGUAAAGGGAAAGCAGCAAUGCGCUGAAAGAGGAGUCCGCGGCCGAUUAGCUAGUUGGCGGGGUAAUGGCCCACCAAGGCGAAGAUCGGUAGCCGGCCUGAGAGGGCACACGGCCACACUGGCACUGAAACACGGGCCAGACUCCUACGGGAGGCAGCAGUGGGGAAUCUUGCACAAUGGGCGAAAGCCUGAUGCAGCGACGCCGCGUGAGCGAUGAAGCCCUUCGGGGUGUAAAGCUCUUUCGACGGGAACGAUAAUGACGGUACCCGGAGAAGAAGCUGCGGCUAACUACGCGCCAGCAGCCGC